GACGAACGCUGGCGGCGUGCUUAACACAUGCAAGUCGAACGGAAAGGCCCUGCUUUUGUGGGGUGCUCGAGUGGCGAACGGGUGAGUAACACGUGAGUAACCUGCCCUUGACUUUGGGAUAACUUCAGGAAACUGGGGCUAAUACCGGAUAGGAGCUCCUGCUGCAUGGUGGGGGUUGGAAAGUUUCGGCGGUUGGGGAUGGACUCGCGGCUUAUCAGCUUGUUGGUGGGGUAGUUGCUUUCCAAGGCUUUGACGGGUAGCCGGCCUGAGAGGGUGACCGGCGACAUUGGGACUGAGGUACGGCCCAGACUCCUACGGGAGGCAACAGUGGGAAGUAUUGCACAAUGGGCGGGAGCCUGAUACAGCAGCGCCGCGUUCGGGAUAACGGCCUUCGGGUUGUAAACCGCUUUCGCCUGUGACGAAGCGUGAGUGACGGUAAUGGGUAAAGAAGCACCGGCUAACUACGUG
rnacentral:rRNA from 1 species